AGUUUAAUAGUUUAUAAAAACUUUAAAUUGCAAAUUUAAAAAAUUAAAAAUAUUAUCACAUUUUUAAUUAAACUU
rnacentral:tRNA from 1 species